AGGUCCAGAUGCAUUCCGUUUUGAGAAUGUCAAUGGAUACACUAACUGCUGCUUUGGAUUUCACCGGUUGGCAGUAGUUGACCCGCUGUUUGGAAUGCAGCCAAUUCGAGUGAAGAAAUAUCCGUAUUUGUGGCUCUGUUACAAUGGUGAAAUCUACAACCAUAAGAAGAUGCAACAGCAUUUUGAAUUUGAAUACCAGACCAAAGUGGAUGGUGAGAUAAUCCUUCAUCUUUAUGACAAAGGAGGAAUUGAGCAAACAAUAUGUAUGUUGGAUGGUGUGUUUGCAUUUGUUUUACUGGAUACUGCCACUAAGAAAGUGUUCCUGGGUAGAGAUACAUAUGGAGUCAGACCUUUGUUUAAAGCAAUGACAGAAGAUGGAUUUUUGGCUGUAUGUUCAGAAGCUAAAGGUCUUGUUACAUUGAAGCACUCCACGACUCCCUUUUUAAAAGUGGAGCCUUUUCUUCCUGGACACUAUGAAGUUUUGGAUUUAAAGCCAAAUGGCAAAGUUGCAUCCGUGGAAAUGGUUAAAUAUCAUCACUGUCGGGAUGAACCCCUGCACGCCCUCUAUGACAAUGUGGAGAAACUCUUUCCAGGUUUUGAGAUAGAAACUGUGAAGAACAACCUCAGGAUCCUUUUUAAUAAUGCUGUAAAGAAACGUUUGAUGACAGACAGAAGGAUUGGCUGCCUUUUAUCAGGGGGCUUGGACUCCAGCUUGGUUGCUGCCACCCUGUUGAAGCAGCUGAAAGAGGCCCGAGUACAGUAUCCUCUCCAGACAUUUGCAAUUGGCAUGGAAGACAGCCCCGAUUUACUGGCUGCUAGAAAGGUGGCAGAUCAUAUUGGAAGUGAACAUUAUGAAGUCCUUUUUAACUCUGAAGAAGGCAUUCAGGCUCUGGAUGAAGUCAUAUUUUCCUUGGAAACUUAUGACAUUACAACAGUUCGUGCUUCAGUAGGUAUGUAUUUGAUUUCCAAGUAUAUUCGGAAGAACACAGAUAGCGUGGUGAUCUUCUCUGGAGAAGGAUCAGAUGAACUUACGCAGGGUUACAUAUAUUUUCACAAGGCUCCUUCUCCUGAAAAAGCUGAGGAGGAGAGUGAGAGGCUUCUGAGGGAACUCUAUUUGUUUGAUGUUCUCCGCGCAGAUCGAACUACUGCUGCCCAUGGUCUUGAACUGAGAGUCCCAUUUCUAGAUCAUCGAUUUUCUUCCUAUUACUUGUCUCUGCCACCAGAAAUGAGAAUUCCAAAGAAUGGGAUAGAAAAACAUCUCCUGAGAGAGACGUUUGAGGAUUCCAAUCUGAUACCCAAAGAGAUCCUCUGGCGACCAAAAGAAGCCUUCAGUGAUGGAAUAACUUCAGUUAAGAAUUCCUGGUUUAAGAUUUUACAGGAAUAUGUUGAACAUCAGGUUGAUGAUGCAAUGAUGGCAAAUGCAGCCCAGAAAUUUCCCUUCAAUACUCCUAAAACCAAAGAAGGAUAUUACUACCGUCAAGUCUUUGAACGCCAUUACCCAGGCCGGGCUGACUGGCUGAGCCAUUACUGGAUGCCCAAGUGGAUCAAUGCCACUGACCCUUCUGCCCGCACACUGACCCACUACAAGUCAGCUGUCAAAGCUUAGGUGGUCUUUAUGCUGUAAUGUGAAAGCAAAUAUUUCUUCCUGUUGUAUGGGGACUAUGGGUAGAUAGGGGAACAAUGAGAGUCAACUCAGGCUAACUUGGGUGUGAAAAAAAUAAAAGUCCUA
rnacentral:sRNA from 1 species